AGUCUUCUCAGACACCCGGGUGUGGUUUCCGGGAAAGGGGAUCUAUCAUUGAGCAGCUGGAGAAGGAGGCUCAGAGGACUCUAAUGCCUUCUCUCAAGAUUGAGACAUGCUGUGCCCCAAUCCUCCUCUCCUUCCUGAGGAGUCUAACUGAUGAGCAAGUCCCAUGUCUUUUUCCAACCUCACAUACAACUCUGAAUUUAUAGUCAUAGUGCCCCUUCUAACCACAAAGGGUAUUUCAAACACUACACCUAACAUCACUGUAACCACACCCCUAACUCUUCCUGUAAAUCAAGAACAAAAUGUCUCAUGUACUUGCUAAUAGCUUAAUUAAAUACACUUUUAUUUUCCCUGACAUGGCUAUCUAGUGACUCCACUAACUCAACACCAGUGUGCAGGUAAAAUAUGUUUCCUUUCUUUUCUUUUCUCUAGCCAAUGGAGGGUGAUUCAGCAUGGCAUGAAAAAUAACGUAAGUCUCUCCACAUAAGGUUCUGGUCAAAAGUUGUGCCCUAUAUAGGGAAUGGUGUCAUGGAAUUACUUGAUUGACAAAAACAUUCCUCUGUUUGUUGGCCAUAGCUCACAUUCGAGCAGCUCUCCACGCUGUGUCUGAAGAUUGUUAAAGUCGUGACCCAGACAGCCCUCCGCAUUCUCCUACCAGCGCUAGCUCGUAUCAUGGGGGUGAACCUGAGGAGUGGGGCAACCUCCCCAGAAUCCCAGUGCUCUCUGACAGGGUCUGAGGAUUCCUUAGGCAGUCUGGAUGAGAGAGAGAAAAGGCUGCUGAUCAGUGAGAUGAACUACUGGACUAAGGAGAGGAGGAGGAAUGGCAGUGCAGGGUUCCGCCAAAAAUCCACUCGCAGAACCUCAUCACCAUGCUGUUCGCCUAAGAGGUCCCAGACCUCAUUUCAGAGCUUGCCUGCAACUAGAGAGGCUCCACUCAUGGAGGAGCCUCUGAAGGCUCUUUUUGGGGUAACGGAAGAGAGCCUCCUGAUAUCCCUGGUUGAGGGUCACUCCAACCCCACAUCCUCCGAGUUGAGCUGUGCUAUCGUGGGGGAGGUGGUACACCAGCUUAACUCUGGCCUCUCAGUGGCCAUUCAGGCCAGCCCGGGGAGUUGCCCCCCUAUGGACAGUCAGGACAUAGCAGCAGGCAAGGAGGUCAUUCGGGUAGCCUCGGUGCAGAUCCUGGCCGAGCUACAGAGCCAAACGUCUGAGCCAGAGUGGUUAGGGUUUAUCGAGCCCCUCAUGGACCCUGUGACCGAUGAUGUGCUGGAUGCCAUUGUCGGCACAAUGGACAAAAUGGCACAGGACUUCAACAUCCUAUUGGAUCUGGCCAAGAAGAUGACAAUCUUGGGGUCUAAAUUUCUGACCAAUCUUCAAUGUGACCUUGAUGUUGAGUGUCCAUCUGGGAAAGAAGGGACCACUCACUUUCUCAAAGAGACUGGAUCCUCUACCAGUGUGGUGGCCAGAAAGCUUCAGACCCUCUCUAGCCCCGACUUUCAGUCUAAAGCCCUGAAGGCGGUGAGCACCAUCCUUACAAGGAAAGUCAGCAGCUCUUCUGGCAUGGCUCCUUCCUCUAGGCCUUCUAGUGCUGCUCCUAGCCUUACUGAAGCCCCCCUGAAUACCAGCUGCACAGCCCUGACAUCUGUAACCUCCACUGCCACAGUGAUUGUUAAGGCAUUUGUGGGAGGCAUGGAGACGAUAGCAUCAUUUGAAGGCACAUGUGAAGCCGUUGAUUGGCCAGUUCCUGUAAAUGACCACAAAACAGGAUCUUCACAGAUGAUAACCUUCUCUCUAGCACGCACACUCUACGGCCGUAUACGAGCAAAGCUGAGGGACCUUUUAACUCUAUCCACUCGAGAAGAAGGUGUGGCUAAGGAUGCUUCUCUUCAGGAGUCUUCAGACACCCUGGAAAAGGCAACUGUUUCAACUGUUGAGGUCCAGUUACCCAGCACCGAACUUAGUAGAGUUCCCAGAGAGAGCCAACCAAUACCAGCUCUCUGUCGCUCCAAUCUGGAUACCAGUACUCAAGAAGUUCUUAGCAGUGUUUUUUCCAUCUACAAGUCAGAGUUAUCAAAAGUGGAGAGUAAAUCCUUGGCCGUUGUCAGUUCAUCUGAUGAGUCCCUAGAGGCUUGUUGGUUUGUUGAUGGUGUCCUAUCAAAGCUCGAUGACUAUACUAUUUCCCAGUCACCCUCACCCAAUGAAGACUUGAGCGUGAGUACUCAAUAUUCUCAACUGAGCUCAGAAGAGAGUGUCAGAAUCACAGAGUCCUCUACUAGUCUGAUUCAGAGCAUUAAGAAGCUCUCUAGCAAUGACUUCCAGACUCAGGCAGAAGAGGCAGUGAGUAAAGUGCUGAUGAGAUCCAGUCAUUCCUUUAUCACACAGAUCAGCCAUACUGGUCUUCAGAAAAGUCUGCAGGCUGGCUUAUCAUCUAGCUCACCAUCAGAGAUCCAUGUCCUUUCAGAAUCCAUGUCCUCCAUGUCCUCUGANNNNNNNNNNAGCUCCUUCAGAUCAAUGAUAUGGUAGGAACUAUGCUGAAGGAGGUUGAGAAAAGUGAGGAUGACAGUGAACAAGUCUGCCAAGACAUCCCUAGAACCUGUUCAUCUUUGUCCACUUCUUUAAAUGGUCGUAGUUCCUUGUCCAGCUCUUCAAAGGGUCCUAGGUCAGAGUGUGAGUUAGAGAUCAACCUCCCUGGCACUCCCAUCCCUGACGAAGUGCCUUUUGAUCUGACCUGCCCCAUCGUCAGGAGCUCCUGCAUCGACACCAGGGUCUCUAAAAUGCCAGAUAUUUCUUCAAGUGACAUAAAGACAAAGAUGAUGGCACACAUAGAUGAACCCCUGCAUCGUAACAGUCCAAUGACUGACAGCAGUCGGCCACCGAGUGCUAAAGCCUCUUUUCGAUCCUCCACCCCGUCUUUCACCAGCAAGGGAACCUCUUUGGUACCAAAGGGAAAUGGGAUUGACAUUGAAGAGAAGGAGGUGUGCAUCCCCAGCAGCUCUGGCCAUCUGAGGGAGCUCUUAAUCCCCCCGGAUAUCAGCAGUGCCACUGCAUUCCCACUGCAGUACUUGAUGGACUCCAGCAAAGAUGAUGGCAUCUGUUUUGUCACCAUACUGGUGAUAAGGUUGCUAUCGGAGAUCAGACCCUCAGCCCUAGAUGGACCCUCCCAACAGGCAGCAGAUCUGACAGAAACAGCUCAGCAACUCAUCAGACAAGUCCUGUCUGAGUUCUGUGCUGCAUCCAGAUUCUCCAGGACAAAGGCAUAUUCCCAGAACCUGAACAUCCAAAGGGUGUUCAGAGGUGUACAUAAAAACCUCAUGGAGGAGUUUGGCUCUUAUAACACCCUGCAAGCAGCUAUUUCCUCCCAGGACCCUGAAUUUGACAGAGUCCUGGUAAAGUCCUUGACCCAGCAGCUGGUACAGGGAUGCAAGGAGGCGUCAAGACCAGCUUCUGCUGCAACAAACCCAUCAGACCAGGCUGAGACAGAGAGGGGGGCUGAGCAGAAAGCAAGAAGGAGCUUCCUUUGCUUUUCAAUGACCAAACUCAGGAUCAACUUCAAGGUAUAGCAGGGAGUUAGCAUUUGUUUUUUGUUCCAGAUUGGUGCUGAUGUUAUUGAUGUGGCUAUGAUAAGACAAAUACAUGAAAUAAAUAUAUGUUUUAUUCAUCACUAAAUUGUUGCCUUGGAUUCAGAAGUGUUCCAUUUAUUUAUUUAUUCUCUGUACCAUUUUCUUGACCUUUCUUCUGUUAGCGUUCCAAGAGAGGAAACAAAAAGGACUGCCAUUUAGUCCAGGACAGAACAGAACAGACUGAGAUUCCCUCUACUGAUGGACAUUGCAUAGGUAAGGAUUUUAGAGCUCUGCUAUAGAUUGUAGUUUUGUUUAGGUGUGUGUUAGAAACA
rnacentral:lncRNA from 13 species